AUUGAACGCUGGCGGCCGGCCUAACACAUGCAAGUCGAGCGGAGCGGCGGACGGGUACGUAAUGCCUAGGAAUCUGCCUGGUAGUGGGGGAUAACGUCCGGAAACAGGCUCUAAUACCGCAUCCUCUCAGCAGAGCCUAGGUCGGAUUAGCUAGUUGUGGGGGUAAAUGCCUACCAGGCGACGAUCCGUAACUGGUAGGAGAGGAUUAUCAGUCACACGGUAACGGCGACACGGUCCAGACUCCUACGGGAGGCAGCAGUGGGGAAUAUUGGACAAUGGGCGAAAGCCUGAUCCAGCCAUGCCGCGUGUGUGAAGAAGGUCUUCGGAUUGUAAAGCACUUUAAGUUGGGAGGCGUUACCAACAGAAUAAGCACCGGCUAACUUCGUGCCAGCAGCCGCGGUAAUAC
rnacentral:rRNA from 1 species